UACGUAGGCAGCAAGCGUUGUUCGGAGUUACUGGGCGUAAAGGGUGUGUAGGCGGCCUGUUAAGUUCCGUGUGAAAUCUCCCGGCUCAACCGGGAGGGUGCGCGGAAAACUGACGGGCUAGAGUGCGGGAUGGGAGAGUAGAAUUCCUGGUGUAGCGGUGAAAUGCGUAGAUAUCAGGAGGAACACCAAUGGCGAAGGCAGCUCGCUGGGACGUGACUGUCGCUCAUGCACGAAAGCGUGGGGAGCAAACAGG
rnacentral:rRNA from 1 species